rnacentral:rRNA from 1 species
GGCGAGCGAACGGGGAGGAGCCCAGAGCCUGAAUCAGUGUGUGUGUUAGUGGAAGCGUCUGGAAAGGCGUGCGAUACAGGGUGACAGCCCCGUACACAAAAAUGCACAUGCUGUGAGCUCGAUGAGUAGGGCGGGACACGUGGUAUCCUGUCUGAAUAUGGGGGGACCAUCCUCCAAGGCUAAAUACUCCUGACUGACCGAUAGUGAACCAGUACCGUGAGGGAAAGGCGAAAAGAACCCCGGCGAGGGGAGUGAAAAAGAACCUGAAACCGUGUACGUACAAGCAGUGGGAGCCUCUUAAUGGGGUGACUGCGUACCUUUUGUAUAAUGGGUCAGCGACUUAUAUUCUGUAGCAAGGUUAACCGAAUAGGGGAGCCGAAGGGAAACCGAGUCUUAACUGGGCGUUAAGUUGCAGGGUAUAGACCCGAAACCCGGUGAUCUAGCCAUGGGCAGGUUGAAGGUUGGGUAACACUAACUGGAGGACCGAACCGACUAAUGUUGAAAAAUUAGCGGAUGACUUGUGGCUGGGGGUGAAAGGCCAAUCAAACCGGGAGAUAGCUGGUUCUCCCCGAAAGCUAUUUAGGUAGCGCCUCGUGAAUUCAUCUCCGGGGGUAGAGCACUGUUUCGGCAAGGGGGUCAUCCCGACUUACCAACCCGAUGCAAACUGCGAAUACCGGAGAAUGUUAUCACGGGAGACACACGGCGGGUGCUAACGUCCGUCGUGAAGAGGGAAACAACCCAGACCGCCAGCUAAGGUCCCAAAGUCAUGGUUAAGUGGGAAACGAUGUGGGAAGGCCCAGACAGCCAGGAUGUUGGCUUAGAAGCAGCCAUCAUUUAAAGAAAGCGUAAUAGCUCACUGGUCGAGUCGGCCUGCGCGGAAGAUGUAACGGGGCUAAACCAUGCACCGAAGCUGCGGCAGCGACACUAUGUGUUGUUGGGUAGGGGAGCGUUCUGUAAGCCUGUGAAGGUGUGCUGUGAGGCAUGCUGGAGGUAUCAGAAGUGCGAAUGCUGACAUAAGUAACGAUAAAGCGGGUGAAAAGCCCGCUCGCCGGAAGACCAAGGGUUCCUGUCCAACGUUAAUCGGGGCAGGGUGAGUCGACCCCUAAGGCGAGGCCGAAAGGCGUAGUCGAUGGGAAACAGGUUAAUAUUCCUGUACUUGGUGUUACUGCGAAGGGGGGACGGAGAAGGCUAUGUUGGCCGGGCGACGGUUGUCCCGGUUUAAGCGUGUAGGCUGGUUUUCCAGGCAAAUCCGGAAAACCAAGGCUGAGGCGUGAUGACGAGGCACUACGGUGCUGAAGUGACAAAUGCCCUGCUUCCAGGAAAAGCCUCUAAGCAUCAGGUAACAU